rnacentral:rRNA from 1 species
UACGGGGGGGGCAAGCGUUGUCCGGAAUUAUUGGGCGUAAAGAGCUCGUAGGCGGUUUGUCACGUCUGCUGUGAAAUCCCGAGGCUCAACCUCGGGCCUGCAGUGGGUACGGGCAGACUGGAGUGCGGUAGGGGAGAAUGGAAUUCCUGGUGUAGCGGUGGAAUGCGCAGAUAUCAGGAGGAACACCGAUGGCGAAGGCAGUUCUCUGGGCCGUAACUGACGCUGAGGCGCGAAAGCUAGGGGAGCGAACAGG